UUUGAUAUUUUCUUCAAAUUUCACCAAAAACCCAACAUCCAAACUUUGUAUUAUUGUGUAGAUCAACUAGAAUACUCAUCUUUAAGCUUGAAUCCAUUUUCAAACCUCCAUUCUUUAGCAAGGGUUUUUAUGGUUAUUGAGAGAGAAAGUUGAAGCUAGUGAGAGAAAGCUUCUAUAAGGUAAGAACUGGUGUUUUCCAUCCCUCCUAACUUAAUAUUUGAGUUUAGUUGCUUUGAGUAAACUUUGACUGAUUAUAGGCUAAGUGUUUUUUAAGUUAUAUUUUUGUGUUUGAAAAAAAUGGGAAAAUGAUGGAAAACAAAAAGUCCAAGUUUGAUUGUGUUUAAAAGCUUUAUUUUGAGUAAAUAUGCAUCCAAAAGUUAAGUACCCUUAGAUACCAUUACUCCUAUUCUAACAUAUUCAGAGAAUUAUGAAAAUAAACAUGUGUAUAAACUUAAGGAAAUUUCCAUGGAUUAAGAUGUGGAAAUAAUGAAUUAGUGAGAUACAUAUGAACAUGAUGAAUAAAUAUUAGAUUUACUAUGAAAUGAAUACAUGUAAACUCUAUGUUUUAAAGGUGUUGAAAUAAGUCAUUGACAAGUUGAGGUAGAAAUGAUUGGUUACAAAAUGCCUUAUUAACUAAUAAUGUACUAUGUAUAUUUUGGUUGCCAUAGAGUUAUUAAUAAGAAUGAAUUUGGUGUAUGUGAAUAGUCAUGAAAUGGGAUAUUAAAGUGAAAAUGUAUAAAUAUGUCACCAUGGCAAAUCUGGGGGGAUAAUUUGUUAAAUUGUUAACCUUACAAGUGGUAGAUAGAAUCGACACAUUAUUGAAAUGUGAACUAAAAAUGUAGGAGCAUAUGUGUGGUUAUGAAAUUUGGUUAAACGCGAGGUCACUCUAGUAAACUUAGUGAAAUAGUUAGGAUAUAAUUGGCAUGCCAAUAGGGAUUAUAUGUGCUUUUGGUUUGGGAGUUGGUGUCGGAGCUCUAUUUCCUUUAAGCCUUGCACGUAUUAUAUGCACUCUUUAUUGGCAUUUGGGUUAUCCAAUCACAUACAUUCUCAAAUGCCUUUAAGCUUAGCACUUUAGUGCUUUUUAGUGUGCUUUGGAGGCUUAUCACUUUGUUGCUUUCUGGUAUGUUUGGAGGAUCAACACAUAUGUGCUUUUAGGUGUGUUUUGGAGGGAUAUGAGAUAAUACCAUAG
rnacentral:lncRNA from 1 species